CUUGUUCCCCGGAUGAGAGAGGGACGGGGUUCCAGAAACUCCAGGACACCCGCAGGGAGAAGAUGAGGAAACAGAGCUCGGCUUCUUGCCGUUCUUUAGAUUUGAUGGACUGAGCUCGGUCUUGUAUCAUGAAGAUAAAGGCCAUACUUCAUGUGAAUCAGAAAGCUAGAGGCAAUAUGGAACAAAGACAGCUUAGCUGCCAUAUCUGCCUGGGACUUCUAUGUGCUAGAAGGCUCAUUGAUAUUUCCUGUGGUUUAUGACCCAAGUUGACAACUGUGACUUCUUCUUUGUGGCGUUCUGAUGGUUAUGUCAUAUAAGAAUCACCUUAUAUCAUUUGAGAAGCUGCUGACACAGAGGACUGAUUUGAUGGAUGACCUGAGCUGCUGCUGUUCCCUCAAAGAGAACAAGAUGUUUUUGUGACAUUCAGACUGAAUUAAUGAAGAAAAUGUGUAUCCUUUAGUUUUAAAUAUAUAAUCCAGCCUGAAGAUAAGAGGAAAAUUAAUUAUGGGUCCUUGAGUUUCUACUAUGAAUGUAUAAACUGUCUUCCACAGGAUAAUACAGUGUGGUAUGAUACUUUACUAUUUCAUUCAAAUGGUAAAUAUUUCACUAAUUAUUGUAAAGAAGUGGUAGUCUAUUAGAAGUGCCAGCAUUAAUGAGGAAUUUCAUAUUUAAGUGGUAUGGGGUAAUCCAUAAGAAUCGUUCUCUCCUUUGCUUUUUUUAGUAUACUUAAUCACUUUUAAAGCUCAUGACUUCAACUCUAGCUAACUAAUUGCUCCAAC